rnacentral:rRNA from 1 species
GACGAACGCUGGCGGCGUGCUUAACACAUGCAAGUCGAACGGAAAGGCCCUGCUUUUGUGGGGUGCUCGAGUGGCGAACGGGUGAGUAACACGUGAGUAACCUGCCCUUGACUUUGGGAUAACUUCAGGAAACUGGGGCUAAUACCGGAUAGGAGCUCCUGCUGCAUGGUGGGGGUUGGAAAGUUUCGGCGGUUGGGGAUGGACUCGCGGCUUAUCAGCUUGUUGGUGGGGUAGUGGCUUACCAAGGCUUUGACGGGUAGCCGGCCUGAGAGGGUGACCGGCCACAUUGGGACUGCGAUACGGCCCAGACUCCUACGGGAGGCAGCAGUGGGGAAUAUUGCACAGUGGGCGGAAGCCUGAUGCAGCAACGCCGCGUGCGGGAUGACGGCCUUCGGGUUGUAAACCGCUUUCGCCUGUGACGAAGCGUGAGUGACGGUAACGGGUAAAGAAGCACCGGCUAACUACGUG